GAUUAAUGCCCAACUGGAAGCUUACCACAGAUUUUUGUGUUUGGCUACCUUUAACAUCCACAAUAUUCUUUCUGGUGUUAUAGCAGAACAGCAGAAGCCUUUCAAACAGAAUAAAAUAA